AUGUGCCACUCGUACACUGCGGUUCCUGUGCGCCGUCCACGCCCAUCUGAGGGCUGCUCGCCGAAGAACGGGGUCAGAUUC
rnacentral:sRNA from 1 species